GGAGACGUCGCAUAGUGGCCCAUUGCGAGAGGUUGCUAACCUCUUGUGUCGCAAGACACGCGUGAGUUCAAAUCUCACCGUCUCCG
rnacentral:tRNA from 1 species